rnacentral:lncRNA from 1 species
CCCUGUACAAAGUAAUUACACAAAGACAACACUCAUCAAUUUGUCAUUAUAUCUGUUAUAUUAACCUGACAAUGAACACAUACAAACUGUUUCAGUAAGCAAAACUUGUAUCGUCAAACGUAAAUUUGUCAAUAUGUUAAAUUGAAAAUUUCUAAAAUUUACAGAAUAACAGUCACAGCCCCCUAUUACUAAUAUGUCACUCCCUCUUUCAAAAGUAAAUGUUGCAUUUCAAUCAUUUUUCAAGGUGAUUAUUCAUUAUUCAUAUCACAGUUUUUGUUGCACUUUUCUUGUUAAUUAUUUUUCUUUUGCGAUCCCGUCAUAAAGAUCUGUGACAAAUUCUCUUAUCGAACAUCAGUGUUCCUCCAUAAGUU